GACGAACGCUGGCGGCGUGCUUAACACAUGCAAGUCGAACGGAGAUUAUUUUAAGCUUGCUUUUGAUGAUCUUAGUGGCAAACGGGUGAGUAACGCGUAGGCAACCUGCCUUUCCGAUGGGGACAACAGUUCGAAAGGACUGCUAAUACCGAAUGAUGUAUAUCUUCCGCAUGGAGGACAUACCAAAGACGGCCUCUAUAUAUAAGCUGUCACGGAAAGAUGGGCCUGCGUCUGAUUAGCCAGUUGGCGGGGUAAUGGCCCACCAAAGCGACGAUCAGUAGCCGGUCUGAGAGGAUGAACGGCCACAUUGGGACUGAGACACGGCCCAAACUCCUACGGGAGGCAGCAGUGGGGAAUCUUCCGCAAUGGACGAAAG
rnacentral:rRNA from 1 species